GAAAUUUUUUACAGCUGCUUCAAUUGAUCAAGAACUAAGAUAUUUCAUUGACUGAUCCUUGCACGAUGAAUAUAUCAAUCAACUGGGUGUUUGUCAGAUUGUCGUGNNNNNNNNGCAGAAAGCAAAAGCAGAGAAAGGAAAGCACUUGCUACGAAGAUGGCAUCAAACCACCGGUGAUAGAAAUCAAACUGAAUAUCUCCUCCCAAUACAUC
rnacentral:misc_RNA from 1 species